UCCGUGGGUUUUGUAGCCUGGCUGUCUUACCCAGUCACCCUGUGGCAAGUUUCAUUUUAUGCCCUUACUUUAGUGCUUUAUAUAUAUUUGCGAUCCGGCGUGUUACGAAGGAAAUAUUCUAUUGUGUGUGCACCGGCAUUUUUUCUGUGCUUUAUUAUUUUAUGCUACAAGUGUCGUCGGCGUGGUAACAUAAGGACAAAGAGCAAACCUAAUGGCAGGUUUGACUUGGUAUCCAUACCUAGCAGUUAGCCUAAGACCUAGUCAUCUGUCAUCUUCCUGAAAAGGUCUGGAGGCGACUUCCGUUGGUGCCAAUGGAUCAGGACUCCCAAGGGAGACAGGUACGUACGUGUGUGGAGUGUGUUCACCUUAAAGGAGUGUUUACCCGAAGGUAAGGGAUGUGCCCAGUUUGGUCCACAUAGAGUUUCGCAGUCACAACUGCUCUUCCCUCAAGAGUGAUGAACACCGGAGUUUCAUUUUUCCAGCUUUGAAUGUUCUAACGAUGCGGUUUUUCGUAGUUGUUUAUAUUGUAAUGCUGCUCUUUUCUAGUAGAGAGCGUUGUAGUAUUUCCUUUUUGUCUUGGUUAAGAGCGUUUUAAUCAUGUGUUUUUGUAGUCGGGAGAGCUUUGUAUGUUGCUAUUUUCCGUUAUGGAAAGUUGAUUUUUUUUCAGCUGAGAAAGGCAUAAUAUUAUCUCACUUAAAUGCUUGAAGUUGUUUAGACGCAUUGCACUUGACUUUAUUCUUUUAUUUUUCCUCGUUGGACGAGUGUUUUACGUGCUCGCCAACCCAUUCGAUAGUCCCUGAUUCGAUAACUCCACUCUGUAAUUUGUUUCUGGUGAUUAGAAAUUAAUUUAUCGAUGUAAUGUGGUUCGGAUCCCACAAUAAGCUGUAGGUCCCGUUACUAGGUAACCAGUUGGUUCCUCGCCUCGUAAAAAUGCCAAAUCCUUCGGGCCAGCCUUAGGAGAGGUCAGUGGUUUGGUUAAACCAAGAUAUACUUAACUUAUUCGUUUAGGAGCGUCUUUGCUGAUACCACUAACGAGAUGCGGUUAUUAUUUUUGAGCGGAAUUGCGUUGUCAGACAGAGCCUAAUCAUGUUUAGAAUGUGUUAAUGAAAUCAAGCUACUGUC